GCCUCCGUGGCGCAGUUGGGAGCGCGUCUGGCUCCAGCCCAGAGAUCGCAGGUUCGAGUCCUGCUGGAGGUG